rnacentral:siRNA from 1 species
CUGCUUAUGCGAAACUUGAGAUGC